GACGAACGCUGGCGGCGUGCUUAACACAUGCAAGUCGAACGGAAAGGCCUUUUCGGAGGUACUCGAGUGGCGAACGGGUGAGUAACACGUGGGUGAUCUGCCCUGCACUCUGGGAUAAGCCUGGGAAACUGGGUCUAAUACCGGAUAGGACCGCACUUUAGUGUGUGUGGUGGAAAGUUUUUUCGGUGUAGGAUGAGCCCGCGGCCUAUCAGCUUGUUGGUGGGGUAAUGGCCUACCAAGGCGGCGGCGGGUAGCCGGACUGAGAGGUUGGUCGGCCACAUUGGGACUGAGAUACGGCCCAGACUCCUACGGGAGGCAGCAGUGGGGAAUAUUGCACAAUGGGCGCAAGCCUGAUGCAGCGACGCCGCGGGGGGGAUGACGGCCUUCGGGUUGUAAACUCCUUUCGCCAGGGACGAAGCGUUUUGUGACGGUACCUGGAGAAGAAGCACCGGCUAACUACGUG
rnacentral:rRNA from 1 species